rnacentral:rRNA from 1 species
UGGGGAAUAUUGGACAAUGGGGGCAACCCUGAUCCAGCGAUGCCGCGUGGGUGAAGAAGGCCUUCGGGUUGUAAAGCCCUUUAAGCUGGGAAGAAGUAAGUCGUGUGAAUAGCACGAUUUGUUGACGGUACCGGCAGAAUAAGCGCCGGCAAACUCUGUGCCAGCAGCCGCGGUAAUACAGAGGGCGCGAGCGUUAAUCGGAUUAACUGGGCGUAAAGGGCGCGUAGGCGGUUGUGUGAGUGUGAUGUGAAAGCCCUGGGCUUAACCUAGGAAGUGCAUCGCAAACGACAUGACUGGAGUAUUGGAGAGGGUAGCGGAAUUUCCGGUGUAGCGGUGAAAUGCGUAGAGAUCGGAAGGAACGUCAAUGGCGAAGGCAGCUACCUGGCCAAAUACUGACGCUGAGGCGCGAAAGCGUGGGGAGCAAACA